UAUGAGCAACCUGCCCUUCAGAGGGGGACAACAGUUGGAAACGACUGCUAAUACCGCGUAACGUAUGAUGGGGGGCAUCCCUGACAUACCGAAAAGGAGCAAUCCGCUAGGAAAAGAUGGGCUCAUAUCUGAUUAGCUUGUUGGCGGGGUAACGGCCCACCAAGGCGACGAUCAGUAGCCGGACUGAGAGGUUGAACGGCCACAUUGGGACUGAGAUACGGCCCAGACUCCUACGGGAGGCAGCAGGUGGGGAAUAUUGGGCAAUGGGCGAAAGCCCUGACCCAGCAACGCCGCGUGAAGGAAGAAGGUCUUCGGAUUAGUAAACUUCUUUUAUGAGGGACGAAGGACGUGACGGUACCUCAUGAAUAAGCCACGGCUAACUACGUGCCAGCCGCCGC
rnacentral:rRNA from 1 species